rnacentral:rRNA from 1 species
GACGAACGCUGGCGGCGUGCUUAACACAUGCAAGUCGAACGGAAAGGCCCUGCUUUUGUGGGGUGCUCGAGUGGCGAACGGGUGAGUAACACGUGAGUAACCUGCCCUUGACUUUGGGAUAACUUCAGGAAACUGGGGCUAAUACCGGAUAGGAGCUCCUGCUGCAUGGUGGGGGUUGGAAAGUUUCGGCGGUUGGGGAUGGACUCGCGGCUUAUCAGCUUGUUGGUGGGGUAGUGGCUUACCAAGGCUUUGACGGGUAGCCGGCCUGAGAGGGUGACCGGCCACAUUGGGACUGAGAUACGGCCCAGACUCCUACGGGAGGCAGCAGUGGGGAAUAUUGCAAAAUGGGCGGAAGCCUGAUGCAGAACCGCCGCGUGCGGGAUGACGGCCUUGGGGUUGUAAACCGCUUUCGCCUGUGACGAAGCGUGAGUGACGGUAAUGGGUAAAGAAGCACCGGCUAACUACGUG